AGCCCAGCGUGAAGGCUUUAUCACUCCGGUGUUAAAGCGGUGCCACGUUAGUGACUUGUCAUAAUGCUUUGCUGAAGCUUCGUGAAUGCUUUUGAAUAAGCUUCAUUUCAGCCAUAGAGGGUGCAAGCCCCUUGGCGUUGUGGAAGCAAAGCAUAGACUUGUCAUGAUAGAGUCGGGUUGCUUGAAAGUGCAACCUAAAGUAGAUGGUAAGCUCCAUCUAAGGCUAAAUAUCGCUGUGAGACCGAUAGCAAACAAGUACCGUGAGGGAAAGUUGCAAAGAACUUUGAAGAGAGAGUUCAAUAGGACGUGAAACCGUUUGCAGGUAAACAGAUGGACCCACGAAGUCCGGUUGAUCAGAGAAUUCAAAUUUUGCAAUUUGUUCUCUACUGGUUUGAUCCUUCUGCCUGAGGAAAUGACUGGUGUGAGUGCUUUUGCGAGAUGCAUUUUUUCUGAUCACGAUGGAGCUCUGACUGCUAAGUGUCUUUCACUGUGUAGGGCUGCUUUGAACUGAGAGAUGAUCCUUAGGGUUCAAAUCUUCAGUUUGAGGUUAUCAGUGAAGUCACUUCGAGUGGUUGAAUUACUUACUUCGGUGAGUGUUCAGGUUGUCGAUGUCUGUCUUUGAGCAGUGCGUAUAAGAAUCUAUUCUUUCGGCUCUUGAAGUUGAAAAAUAGAAGUCUUGUAUG
rnacentral:rRNA from 1 species